AAUUUUGGACAAUGGGGGAAACCCUGAUCCAGCCAUCCCGCGUGUAUGAUGAAGGCCUUCGGGUUGUAAAGUACUUUUGGCAGAGAAGAAAAGGUACCUCCUAAUACGAGGUACUGCUGACGGUAUCUGCAGAAUAAGCACCGGCUAACUACGUGCCAGGAGACGCGGUAAUCGGUAGGGUGCAAGCGUUAAUCGGAAUUACUGGGCGUAAAGCGUGUGUAGGCGGUUCGGAAAGAAAGAUGUGGAGUCCCAGAGCUCAACCUUGGAACUGCAUUUUUAACUGCCGAGCUAGAGUAUGUGAGAAGGGGGUAGAAUUCCACGUGUAGCAGUGAAAUGCGUAGAUAUGUGGAGGAAUACCGAUGGCGAAGGCAGCCCCCUGGGAUGAUACUGACGCUCAGACACGAAAGCGUGGGGAGCAAACAG
rnacentral:rRNA from 1 species